rnacentral:rRNA from 1 species
AUUGAACGCCGGCGGCAUGCCUUACACAUGCAAGUCGAGCGGCAGCGCGGGGGCAACCCUGGCGGCGAGCGGCGAACGGGUGAGUAAUACAUCGGAACGUGUCCAGUAGUGGGGGAUAACCAGUCGAAAGAUUGGCUAAUACCGCAUACGAUCUACGGAUGAAAGCGGGGGACCGCAAGGCCUCGCGCUAUCGGAGCGGCCGAUGUCGGAUUAGCUUGUUGGCGGGGUAAAAGCCCACCAAGGCGACGAUCCGUAGCUGGUCUGAGAGGACGACCAGCCACACUGGAACUGAGACACGGUCCAGACUCCUACGGGAGGCAGCAGUGGGGAAUUUUGGACAAUGGGCGCAAGCCUGAUCCAGCCAUGCCGCGUGAGUGAAGAAGGCCCUCGGGUUGUAAAGCUCUUUCGGCGGGGACGAAACGGUCCGUGCUAACACCACGGAUCAAUGACGGUACUCGCAGAAGAAGCACCGGCUAACUACGUGCCAGCAGCCGCGGUAAC